CUGAUGAUGAAACAGCAUCACUGGUCUCCUGGCAAACGAGUUAACAAAGUAACGUUCAAACUAUCAAGAUGAAGCUUCCAUUAGGAAAAUUAAAAUGCACCAAACAAAUGUAGGCCUAGAUCAUCAAUGAAAGUUUGGAUAGUGGCACAUAACCGUCUUUGUUGUUGUUUAGUUAUGUUGAGGGCGGGACUGAGACCGAAAUGAACAAGGCGCGGCCAAGGAACCCUUCACACGUGCAGACAAAGGACCCAACAACACAACCAAAAUAUUCACUUUCAAACUUUUUGAGAAGCUGCGAAGACUUCGGUAACCUGACAAAAAGAAAAGGUGGAGUUUGAAACAAGAUUUACUUGCAAAGUUCGGUUCGGGAAAACGGGAAAUCGGUUUGGAGGUACGGGACAUUAAUCAAGCAUCCUACAGGGAUUCAUGGCUGUUGGAACAUUUAUGGAAUUCUAAAAGUCCAGGAAACUAUUGGAUUAUACCUUUAAUCGCCCGAAGUCAUGUGAAUAGUUGGUGCAUUAGAUCACCAGAAUGAUAUGGAUCUGGGUGUCCGUGCCACGGAAGCAAGCGCAGAUGAGAUGUGUCAGGUGGCCCCCUCAGAGCCGAGCAACAGUCAUCAGCUCACAGGAAGUGUGCAGGAAGUGAGAUCCGUGGUCGAGGGACCUGCCCGGGCUAGUCUGGAGACCAGACGCCUAACUGUCGCUCUGCACCUGAGUCCUGGAGAGGGAGAUUACAGAGUCACGUGAAGACAGAGGAACCUCUACUGGGCAAGACGCGACAAGACUCUCCGACUGAUUCGAAUGCAUUCAAGAUGCAGGAGCAGAGGAAUGUCGACCUACGUAGCUGUGGAGGAAUAGCAGAGAGGAAAAACAAUGCUAAAGGUGUCCACACAAGGGCAAGAUCCAGAAUGCUUUCCUUCUGUUAUGGAACAUCUUGGUACCGCAUCCACCAUUAGACAUACAGGCCCUGUGGUACAGCCAGAGGAAGCAGGAACCUACCUUAAUGAGUGUGGACGGGCCUCCACUUCCAUCCACCUCUUCACCUCCAGAACACACCGUUGACAUUUCCUCACAGGCCCCUGGGGUUUUCGGCCAAACUUCUGACUGGCAGACCGACUGCCGGGGUCUUAUCAUGCACACAGCCAGAGCUCUUCAGGUGUGAGUGUGUGUGUGUGCCGUGCACAUGCAUAGUACACACAAAUGGCUCUCUUGGGUCACUUACUGGCUUCACAGUGACCCAAGGGGUCCAGGCCAAGGGGAUAGAAUUGGGAGUCAUGCGGGUGGAAGGGGGUAGAUAGCAGGGGCCAGUCAGGAGGGCUGAGGCCAAACUGCAGGCUGACAUGCCCACACAGCAGCACACACUCUGGGGACCUGGGUCAGGUCUGUGAGGGAGCUGGCUGACUGGACCACCUUUAACACUCGACCACAAUGAUGAGGUUAUCUUGAGACGACGGUGUUUUAUGUGUCAGCCUAUUAACUCACCUAUUAGCAUGACCUUAAUCAAAAGUGAACUCCGAUUUGUUUAUUCGAUUUUAUGUAUCAGAUUUGUUCCUGAAUGAAGACAUGCUUUCUCUAAUAAAAGCCUGAUCUACAGCAAAAGUC